rnacentral:rRNA from 1 species
UAACGAAUAUUCCGCAAUGCGCGAAAGCGUGACGGAGCGAUACCGCGUGCAGGACGAAGCCCCUCGGGGUGUAAACUGCUGUCAGGGUUUACCAAAAAAAUGAGGAGACCCAAAGGAAGAGGCGGCUAACUCUGUGCCAGCAGCCGCGGUAAUACAGAGGCCUCGAGCGUUAAUCGGAGUUACUGGGCUUAAAGGGUGCGUAGGCGGUUCCGUAAGUGCCUUGUGAAAUCCCAUGGCUUAACCAUGGAAUUGCUCGGUAGACUGCGGAACUUGAGGUCGGUAGAGGUCGCUGGAACUCUAGGUGGAGCGGUGAAAUGCGUAGAUAUCUAGAGGAACGCCAAAGGUGAAGACAGGCGACUGGGCCGAUUCUGACGCUGAGGCACGAAAGCGUGGGUAGCGAACGGGAUUAGAUACCCCCGUAGUCC